rnacentral:rRNA from 1 species
UACACUCCUGCGGGAGGCAGCAGUGGGGAAUAUUGGACAAUGGGCGCAAGCCUGAUCCAGCCAUGCCGCGUGAGUGAUGAAGGCCCUAGGGUUGUAAAGCUCUUUCACCGGUAAAGAUAAUGACGGUAACCGGAGAAGAAGCCCCGGCUAACUUCGUGCCAGCAGCCGCGGUAAUACGAAGGGGGCUAGCGUUGUUCGGAUUUACUGGGCGUAAAGCGCACGUAGGCGGACUAUUAAGUCAGGGGUUAAAUCCCGGGGCUCAACCCCGGAACUGCCUUUGAUACUGGUAGUCUUGAGUUCGAGAGAGGUGAGUGGAAUUCCGAGUGUAGAGGUGAAAUUCGUAGAUAUUCGGAGGAACACCAGUGGCGAAGGCGGCUCACUGGCUCGAUACUGACGCUGAGGUGCGAAAGCGUGGGGAGCAAACAGGAUUAGAAACCCGUGUAGUCCCAUG